rnacentral:rRNA from 1 species
UACGUAGGGUGCGAGCGUUAAUCGGAAUUACUGGGCGUAAAGCGUGCGCAGGCGGUUCGCUGUGUCCUGUGUGAAAGCCCCGGGCUUAACCUGGGAAUGGCGAUGGAUACUGGCUCGCUAGAGUGCGGUAGAGGAGAGUGGAAUUCCCGGUGUAGCAGUGAAAUGCGUAGAGAUCGGGAGGAACAUCAGUUGCGAAGGCGGCUCUCUGGACCAGCACUGACACUGAGGCACGAAAGCGUGGGGAGCAAACAGG